rnacentral:tRNA from 1 species
GGGUCGGUGCCCGAGCGGUUAAAGGGGACGGAUUGUAAAUCCGUUGGCUACGCCUUCACUGGUUCAAAUCCAGUUCGACCCA